rnacentral:sRNA from 1 species
UUCCACAGCCUCCUAGAUUAGAACCUCAGGAACCAAAUUCUGCCACCAGCACAACGAUUGCAGUUUAUUGGAGCAUGAACAAGGAAGAUGUCAUUGAUUCAUUUCAGGUUUACUGCAUGGAGGAUCCACAAGAUGAUCAAGAAGUAAAUGAGUUGGUAGAAGAAUACAGACUGACGGUGAAAGAAAGCUACUGCAUUUUUGAAGAUCUGGAACCUGACCAAUGCUAUAAAGUGUGGGUGAUGGCUGUGAACUUCACUGGAUGUAGCCUGCCCAGUGAAAGGGCAAUCUUUAGGACAGCACCCUCCACUCCUGUGAUCCACGCUGAGGACUGUACUGUGUGUUGGAACACAGCCACUAUCCGAUGGCGGCCCACCACCCCAGAGGCCACGGAGACCUACACUCUGGAGUACUGCAGACAGCACUCUCCUGAGGGAGAGGGCCUCAGGUAAGGGGCCCUCUCCAUGGGAGAGACUGCCCAGAGCCAAGUAACCAAGCUCUGGGCCCUAAACUACCCUCUAGCUUCUGCUCACCAAGGGAGAAAUGCAGCCUAAAAUCCUGCUGAGCUAAUGAAGCCACUGACUUGAUUUGCAGCUCUAUCACAGUUCAUCAACGAACUCCAAGUUUGUAAUAAAACACAGGCUACAAUACAGAAUAA